CCUACGGGCGGCAGCAGUGGGGAAUAUUGGACAAUGGGGGGAACCCUGAUCCACCCAUGCCGCGUGUGUGAAGAAGGCCCUCGGGUUGUAAAGCACUUUCAGUGAGGAAGAACGCCUGGUGGUUAAUACCCAUCAGGAAAGACAUCACUCACAGAAGAAGCACCGGCUAACUCCGUGCCAGCAGCCGCGGUAAUACGGAGGGUGCGAGCGUUAAUCGGAAUUACUGGGCGUAAAGCGCGCGUAGGUGGCUUGAUAAGCCGGUUGUGAAAGCCCCGGGCUCAACCUGGGAACGGCAUCCGGAACUGUCAAGCUAGAGUGCAGGAGAGGAAGGUAGAAUUCCCGGUGUAGCGGUGAAAAGCGUAGAGAUCGGGAGGAAUACCAGUGGCGAAGGCGGCCUUCUGGACUGACACUGACACUGAGGUGCGAAAGCGUGGGUAGCAAACAGGAUUAGAUACCCGUGUAGUC
rnacentral:rRNA from 1 species